rnacentral:rRNA from 1 species
GACGUAGGGCGCGAGCGUUGUCCGGAAUUACUGGGCGUAAAGGGCUCGUAGGUGGCCAACUAAGUCAGACGUGAAAUCCCUCAGCUUAACUGGGGAACUGCGUCUGAUACUGGAUGGCUUGAGUUUGGGAGAGGGAUGCGGAAUUCCAGGUGUAGCGGUGAAAUGCGUAGAUAUCUGGAGGAACACCGGUGGCGAAGGCGGCAUCCUGGACCGAGAUUGACGCUGAUGCGCGAAAGCCAGGGGAGCAAACGGG